rnacentral:rRNA from 1 species
AGUGAACGCUGGCGGUAGGCCUAACACAUGCAAGUCGAACGGCAGCACAGUAAGAGCUUGCUCUUACGGGUGGCGAGUGGCGGACGGGUGAGGAAUACAUCGGAAUCUACUUUUUCGUGGGGGAUAACGUAGGGAAACUUACGCUAAUACCGCAUACGACCUACGGGUGAAAGCAGGGGAUCUUCGGACCUUGCGCGAUUGAAUGAGCCGAUGUCGGAGUAGCUAGUUGGCGGGGUAAAGGCCCACCGAGGCGACGAUCCGUAGCUGUUCUGAGAGGAUGAUCAGCCACACUGGAACUGAGACACGGUCCAGACUCCUACGGGAGGCAGCAGUGGGGAAUAUUGGACAAUGGGCGCAAGCCUGAUCCAGCCAUACCGCGUGGGUGAAGAAGGCCUUCGGGUUGUAAAGCCCUUUUGUUGGGAAAGAAAAGCAGCAGGUUAAUACCCCGCUGUUCUGACGGUACCCAAAGAAUAAGCACCGGCUAACUUCGUG